CUGUGUUUAUUAGAUACAAAACCAACCCACUUUGUGUGGAGUCCUGGUGAUUCAUAGUAACCGAACGGAUCGCAAUUGGCUUCGGCCCGCGAUAGAUCUUUCAAGUUUCUGACCUAUCAGCUUUCGACGGUAGGGUAUUGGCCUACCGUGGCAGUGACGGGUAACGGGGAAUUAGGGUUCGAUUCCGGAGAGGGAGCCUGAGAAACGGCUACCACAUCUAAGGAAGGCAGCAGGCGCGCAAAUUACCCAAUGAAAACAGUUUCGAGGUAGUGACGAGAAAUAACAAUACAGGGCAUUUUAUGCUCUGUAAUUGGAAUGAUGGGAAUGUAAAACCCUUCCAGAGUAACAAUUGGAGGGCAAGUCUGGUGCCAGCAGCCGCGGUAAUUCCAGCUCCAAUAGUGUAUAUUAGAGUUGUUGCAGUUAAAAAGCUCGUAGUUGGAUUUCUGCUGUGGUCAUCCGGUACCGCCCGUACGGGUGCGCACCUGGUAUGGCUGAGGCAUUCUUCCUGUAGCCGUCAGCGCUUAAUUGCGUGUGUGUGUUGCGGAACUUUUACUUUGAGAAAAAUAGAGUGUUUCAAGCAGGCUUGUCGCCCUGAAUACUUCAGCAUGGAAUAAUAGGAUAGGACCUUGGUUCUAUUUUGUUGGUUUCUAGGACCAAGGUAAUGAUUAAUAGGGACAGUUGGGGGCAUUCGUAUUUAACUGUCAGAGGUGAAAUUCUUAGAUUUGUUAAAGACGAACUACUGCGAAAGCAUUUGCCAAGGAUGUUUUCAUUAAUCAAGAACGACAGUAGGGGGUUUGAAGACGAUUAGAUACCGUCGUAA
rnacentral:rRNA from 1 species